rnacentral:rRNA from 1 species
UACGUAGGGUGCAAGCGUUAAUCGGAAUUACUGGGCGUAAAGCGUGCGCAGGCGGUUUUGUAAGUCUGUCGUGAAAGCCCCGGGCUCAACCUGGGAAUUGCGAUGGAGACUGCAAGGCUUGAAUCUGGCAGAGGGGGGUAGAAUUCCACGUGUAGCAGUGAAAUGCGCAGAGAUGUGGAGGAACACCGAUGGCGAAGGCAGCCCCCUGGGUCAAGAUUGACGCUCAUGCACGAAAGCGUGGGGAGCAAACAGG